AUUGAACGCUGGCGGCAUGCCUAACACAUGCAAGUCGAACGGCAGCACAGCAGAGCUUGCUCUGUGGGUGGCGAGUGGCGGACGGGUGAGUAAUGCAUCGGGACCUACCCAGACGUGGGGGAUAACGUAGGGAAACUUACGCUAAUACCGCAUACGUCCUACGGGAGAAAGCGGGGGACCUUCGGGCCUCGCGCGGUUGGAUGGACCGAUGUUCGAUUAGCUAGUUGGUAGGGUAAUGGCCUACCAAGGCGACGAUCGAUAGCUGGUCUGAGAGGAUGAUCAGCCACACUGGGACUGAGACACGGUCCAGACUCCUACGGGAGGCAGCAGUGGGGAAUAUUGGACAAUGGGCGCAAGCCUGAUCCAGCAAUGCCGCGUGUGUGAAGAAGGCCUUCGGGUUGUAAAGCACUUUUAUCAGGAGCGAAAUACUAUCGGUUAAUAACCGGUGGGGCUGACGGUACCUGAGGAAUAAGCACCGGCUAACUUCGUGCCAGCAGCCGCGGUAAUACGAAGGGUGCAAGCGUUAAUCGGAAUUACUGGGCGUAAAGGGUGCGUAGGCGGUUAGUUAAGUCUGUUGUGAAAUCCCCGGGCUCAACCUGGGAAUGGCAAUGGAUACUGGCUAGCUAGAGUGUGUCAGAGGAUGGUGGAAUUCCCGGUGUAGCGGUGAAAUGCGUAGAGAUCGGGAGGAACAUCAGUGGCGAAGGCGGCCAUCUGGGACAACACUGACGCUGAAGCACGAAAGCGUGGGGAGCAAACAGGAUUAGAUACCCUGGUAGUCCACGCCCUAAACGAUGCGAACUGGAUGUUGGU
rnacentral:rRNA from 1 species